rnacentral:rRNA from 1 species
UACGUAGGGUGCGAGCGUUAAUCGGAAUUACUGGGCGUAAAGCGUGCGCAGGCGGCUUCGCAAGUCAGACGUGAAAUCCCCGGGCUUAACCUGGGAAUGGCGUUUGAAACUACGGAGCUGGAGUGUGGCAGGGGGAGGUAGAAUUCCACGUGUAGCGGUGAAAUGCGUAGAUAUGUGGAGGAAUACCGAUGGCGAAGGCAGCCUCCUGGGCCAACACUGACGCUCAUGCACGAAAGCGUGGGGAGCAAACAGG